rnacentral:sRNA from 1 species
UUAAAAUCAGAAGGUGAAAGAGUAUAGUAAUGAAUCUAGCCUGGAUUGUAUUUGUCUUUAUACCAAUGCAGUCAUAGAAUGAAAAUAUGUGAGAUAUAUGUGUGUGUGUGUGUGUGUGUGUGUGUGUGCGCGCGCGCACGCGCGUGUGUGUAUAUGUAUUUAA